AGCAUAAUUUUGUGCCUCCGCACAAAUUCUGUCUAAGGAUGGAUGAGACACUUGGCACGUGGCCAGCAGUCCUUGGUUCAUGUUAAUAAGCGUCUGUAACAAUGCGUACGAAGCGGUAAUUCCGUGAACUGUAGAGUCGUGUGUAAAUCUACGCUAGCCGCCACGGCUGUCUUCCCGUACACCACCGCAUGCUCCCCGAAAAGAAUUACUUUCCCCGGUGCAGACACUUUGAAUUGAAUCAUUUUAAAUCCGGUGAACUUUGUCUACGGUGCUGUCAAGGAACCUAGUCUAACACAAAUACCUGUGACGUUGCAGCAAAGGUUUGCCUUCGAACGCGCUAGAAACGAUUGUCACAGAAAACUUAGCGCCGCAACCAUCAGACUCAUCUGUGACUUCCUACAAGAUUUGAAAACGUUCCUUAUUUGACUGGUAAUUAUACAGUGGAUAUUAAAUUCGUAUUAUAAUUCUUUAAGUAACUAUUAAUACAGCAACACGUCUCGAGCCUAACUCUCUGUUAAACGAUCUGAGGUAUACUGGGAGGAAAAGCAGCAUGCGAUCGUGCUUGAUCUCUCGCGUAAUAUUGUUAUGGUAAUUUAGUAAAGCAAUACUUAGUACUAGAUCAAAGUUCAAGUAUAUAAAAAUAAAAUUAUCUAAUACAUCAUAGA